rnacentral:rRNA from 1 species
AUUGAACGCUGGCGGCAUGCUUUACACAUGCAAGUCGAACGGUAACAGGCCUUCGGGUGCUGACGAGUGGCGAACGGGUGAGUAAUGCAUCGGAACGUACCCAGAGGUGGGGGAUAACGCAGCGAAAGCUGUGCUAAUACCGCAUGUGAUCUGAGGAUGAAAGCGGGGGACCGAGCAGCAAUGUUUGGCCUCGCGCCUUUGGAGCGGCCGAUGUCGGAUUAGCUAGUUGGUGGGGUAAAGGCAUACCAAGGCGACGAUCCGUAGCUGGUCUGAGAGGACGACCAGCCACACUGGGACUGAGACACGGCCCAGACUCCUACGGGAGGCAGCAGUGGGGAAUUUUGGACAAUGGGCGCAAGCCUGAUCCAGCAAUGCCGCGUGCGGGAAGAAGGCCUUCGGGUUGUAAACCGCUUUUGGCAGGAACGAAACGGUGUCCGCUAAUACCGGGCGCUAAUGACGGUACCUGCAGAAUAAGCACCGGCUAACUACGUG